AUUGAACGCUGGCGGCAGGCCUAACACAUGCAAGUCGAACGAGUGGCGGACGGGUGAGUAAUGUCUGGGAAACUGCCUGAUGGAGGGGGAUCACUACUGGAAACUGUAGCUAAUUCCGCAUUCCAUCGGCUGUGCCCGGAUGGGAUUAGCUAGUAGGUGGGGUAACGGCUUACCUAGGCGACGAUCCCUAGCUGGUCUGAGAGUAUGAACAGGCACACUGGAACUGAGACACGGUCCAGACUCCUACGGGAGGCAGCAGUGGGGAAUAUUGGACAAUGGGCGCAAGCCUGAUGCAGCCAUGCCGCGUGUAUGAAGAAGGCCUUCGGGUUGUAAAGCACUUUCAGCGGGGAGGCGUUACCCGCAGAAGAAGCACCGGCUAACUCCGUGCCAGCCGCCGCGGUAAUAC
rnacentral:rRNA from 1 species